rnacentral:rRNA from 1 species
GAUGAACGCUAGCGGCAGGUCUAAUACAUGCAAGCCGAACGGCAAGUUUGAUAGCAAUAUUGGACCUAGAGUGGCGCAAGGGUGCGUAACACGUAUGCAACCUGCCCGCGACAGGAGGAUAGCUCCCCGAAAGGGGAAUUAACCCUCCAUAACACCAUGAGAAGGCAUCUGAUUAUGGUUAAACCGCAAGGGGUCGCGGAUGGGCAUGCGGUUGAUUAGCUAGUUGGCGGGGUAAAGGCCCACCAAGGCGGUGAUCAAUAGGGGUUCUGAGAGGAAGGUCCCCCACACUGGCACUGGGAUACGGGCCAGACUCCUACGGGAGGCAGCAGUAGGGAAUAUUAGACAAUGGUUGCAAGACUGAUCCAGCCAUGCCGCGUGCAGGAAGAAGGCCUUCUGAGUCGUAAACUGCUUUUUCCUGUGGAUAAAAUACCCGUGCGCGGGGAAUUGAAGGUAACAGGGGAAUAAGCCACGGCUAACUACGUG